UACGUAGGGUGCGAGCGUUGUCCGGAAUUAUUGGGCGUAAAGGGCUCGUAGGCGGUUUGUCACGUCGGGAGUGAAAACUCAGGGCUUAACCCUGAGCCUGCUUCCGAUACGGGCAGACUAGAGGUAUGCAGGGGAGAAUGGAAUUCCUGGUGUAGCGGUGAAAUGCGCAGAUAUCAGGAGGAACACCGGUGGCGAAGGCGGGACUCUGGGCCGAUACUGACGCUGAGGAGCGAAAGCGUGGGGAGCAAACAGG
rnacentral:rRNA from 1 species